rnacentral:rRNA from 1 species
UACGAGGGGGGCGAGCGUUGUUCGGAAUUAUUGGGCGUAAAGGGUGCGUAGGCGGUUCCGCAAGUCCUGUGUGAAAUCUUCGGGCUCAACUCGAAGUCUGCACGGGAAACUGCGGGGCUUGAGUGUGGGAGAGGUGAGUGGAAUUCCCGGUGUAGCGGUGAAAUGCGUAGAGAUCGGGAGGAACAUCUGUGGCGAAGGCGGCCACCUGGACCAUGACUGACGCUGAGGCACGAAAGCGUGGGGAGCAAACAGG